UACAGAGGGUGCGAGCGUUAAUCGGAAUUACUGGGCGUAAAGCGCACGUAGUCGGCUUUGCAAGUCGGUUGUGAAAUCCCCGGGCUCAACCUGGGAACUGCAUCCGAGACUGCAUUGCUAGAGUAUGGGAGAGGAAAGCGGAAUUUCUGGUGUAGCAGUGAAAUGCGUAGAUAUCAGAAGGAACAUCAGUGGCGAAGGCGGCUUUCUGGACCAUAACUGACGCUGAGGCGCGAAAGCUAGGGGAGCAAACGGG
rnacentral:rRNA from 1 species